UGCCCACCUCCACCGUCCCCUCCUGCCAGGGUCCCACCCCUGAGCAACAUGGCCCUGCCUUCCCUCUGCAAAUUCUUUCCAGACUAAGCGGCAACACCGGCAGAGCCUCCCAAGGAAGGGAGGAGGGAGGACAGAGGCCAAGGUGGCUCCCGGCCACCCUUCCAGCUUCCUCCCUCCCUGGCCACAAGGACAUAAAGCUCAGAGGGAUGGAUGGACAGACAGGAAGGCUCAGGCUGGACACGCAUUGUCCGAGUGCCCCAAGCAGAGCUGGGCAAGGAGCAAAUGCUCAGGCAGGCUGUGGGAUGAGCAGGUGAAAUGGAUGGAAGGAUGGACGGACAGACGGAUGGAUGGAUGGACGGAUGGAUGGAGCCCAACACCAGCUCUCAGGUCCUAGACGGAUGGUCCAACACCAGAGAGGUGGCCUCUCUCAGCAGAUCUUCCCAGGACCCUGCAGGAGGGCAGGCCGCAGCAGCCCCAAGGAACAGCCCGGGGGAGGGAAGGCAGAUGGCCGCCUCAAAGCCAGCCCUGAGUCCUUCCCCUCUAGGCCUGAGUGUCAAGGGCAGACCCAGCCCAUGGCUUUGGGGACCUGGUGGCACUGACUCCAGCAGGAGAUCCCUGGGCUGAGCCCUGGCAGGUAGGGGAGGCCUGGACUCAUGGGGACAGAACACUGUCUCAGCCUGAUGUGGCUCGGGGAGGAGGGUAGGGCCCCUGGUCAUGUAGGUCCUGGCCCCAUGCGCCUGCUCUCCACCUGACCUCAGCAGGCAGGUCUCUUGGGCCAUUCGUGCACCCAGCUGCCCUGGAGCCCCAAACUGGGACUGGUGGAGGGGCCCUGCGGAGGGGAAGGCUGGGGUCCAAGAAGCCCAUGAAGCCAUGUGCCAGGGCCAGAGCUGGUCUGCCUGGUCUGGAUGGUAUGUCAUCCUUGUGUUACAAGUGGGGAAACUGAGGCUUGGGGAGUAACAUCACAGGUUCAAGGUCUUAAAGCUGAGAAGUGGCCCCUCUGGGUUUGGAAGGCAGGCUGGACCCUGGGGCAGCCUCUACCCCCAGCCCCUCUUCCCCAGGACCCUACGACCCCAAGAGGCUUCCCUGGCAACCCGGUCAGCCCUCUCUGUCCUCUCCCCAGCUCCCCUUGUCCUGUCCAGGGCUGAGCACCGUCCCACAGCCCACUUCCCUAGCAGGGCUGUAUGGCCCAGCGGGCCCCUAGAGGGAGACCUGGGGUCUGGAGGGGGAGGGGAGUGUUUCAGGCUGAAGCUGAGCCUGGGGAAGCAGGCGGGGGUGGCUAGACGGGCCACCCCCUCAACAGUUUUCAGACCUCAAGGAGUCACCAUGAAAUUCCAUUCUCCUGACAGCAAAGAAAUUGAUUCACUCUUGCCAAAGCCUGCGGCCCCCACAAGAAUGCUGUAAAGCUUCCUCCCGCUGCUUCCAGACAGGCAGCAGCAUCAGGUCCCCCACUCCUCCAUUCCUGACCACACAGAGACGCGGAACCUCCGUACCCAGUUCUAUGCAUGUGCCCCUGCCAGGCUGGGCCAUUCACCUCUGUAUAGUCACUCCCUUGGCACAAUAUCCCCCUUGCUUUCUGUACAAUGGGCACCUUGCUCCCACGACCUGCUGGGUCAAAGGCACCGCAGUCAGGGGUAGUUGGGGAGCAGGGGUGGUGGGGGGCUCAGGGCAGGAAGUCCCACCCCCUGGCCUGGGAACUGUGGAGAGACGGACUCACAGCACCUUGUCAGGUGGGGUGCAGGGUGGCACGGCACCCACCAUCGGUGCCACUGAUGUAAAGUCCAGAUACAAAGCACAGCCCAUCCAAAGAUUUGGGGGCUUGGUCAUGCUUGGCUGCUGGGGAAUGAGGAGGGAUUGGGCCUCAAGAAACAGAGCUAGGACUAAGUCACGAGGUGUGUGGACAUCAGGCGGGACUUGAACUCAGCCAGUGGAGAGCUAUGGAGGGUUUUGUUCUUCAUGUGGGUGUGUGAGUGGCUAUGAUCCUAGCGUGGAGAAUAAGCAAAGCAAAUAGGAUAGGAGUGGGUGGGACAGGAGUGGACGCUGCCUAAGCGAUCCAGGGAAGAGAUGGCUCCCUCUCUGAAACAAUGCAGAUAUGGGAGAGGCUGAAGUGAUCGGUGUGAAGCACGUGGGGGCAUGGAGACCCCUCAGUCCGGAGGCUGGGGCUGGGCUGGGGCUCAGCUGACUUUUGUGGGGGCAGCCAACCCAGCCACUGGGUCCUUUCUCCCCGCCUCACCCUCAAGCCUCUCCAGCUGCCUGGAGGCUCCAGGGCUAGGCUCUGGCUGAUCGGGGAGGGGUUUAUGGCAGGAGGUGACGCCAUGGGAGACUUGUCACUUGGGCACAGCCAGCACCAUCUGCUGGGGCAUCUGCCUUCGGAGGUGGUGACUGCUAAUUACCUGGGGCCAGGAAGAGGCCUGGGAACCCCCAUCCCCCACACCGCCCAGCCGGUACAGGGGCUAGGGGUGGGGCCCCUGGGGCCCUAAGAGCAAAUGGGCUACAUCGUCCUUAGAGGGGGUCUGACAGUGGGGCCAGACACUUAUCCAGUGAAUUUUUUCAGAGCACCUACGAUGUCCCAAAACCUGUUCCAGGUCGGGAUGACAUGAGGUCGCUGCUGUCUUGCGGCUGACGUUCAGGUAGAGGAAAGGAGAGGAGCGCCAAGGGGCACUUAAAUAAUUUAAAAUGCCAUCUCAGGCGUGAACAUAACUGUCAGCGUCCGAGGGGAGCAGUUUAGCCACGGUGGUGGUGGCGAUGGUGGUCGUGGUGGUCGCAGAGACCGUGCUUAGGAGGGCACGGGAAGGCAGCGCAGCCACGCGCAGAGCCACGCCCGUCCACGCUUCCGGAGGACGUGGAGGGCAGGGGGCUCACACCCUGCUCAGGGGACCCUUGGCCACUUCCGGGCCCCUCGCCCCUCACCCUCGGCUGCCG